UACGUAGGGAGCGAGCGUUGUCCGGAAUUACUGGGUGUAAAGGGAGCGUAGGCGGGAUUGCAAGUCAGAUGUGAAAGGCGGGAGCUUAACUCCCGAGCUGCAUUUGAAACUGUAGUUCUUGAGUGAAGCAGAGGUAAGCGGAAUUCCUGGUGUAGCGGUGAAAUGCGUAGAUAUCAGGAGGAACACCGGUGGCGAAGGCGGCUUACUGGGCUUUUACUGACGCUGAGGCUCGAAAGCGUGGGGAGUAAAC
rnacentral:rRNA from 1 species